rnacentral:rRNA from 1 species
AGGACGAACGCUGGCGGCGUGCUUAACACAUGCAAGUCGAGCGGAAAGGCCACUUCGGUGGUACUCGAGCGGCGAACGGGUGAGUAACACGUGAGUAAUCUGCCCUCCACUUUGGGAUAGCCACCGGAAACGGUGAUUAAUACCGGAUAUGACCUCGCAUCGCAUGGUGUGUGGUGGAAAGUUUUUCGGUGGGGAUGUGCUCGCGGCCUAUCAGCUUGAUGGUGGGUAAUGGCCUACCAUGGCUUCGACGGGUA